rnacentral:rRNA from 1 species
UAGUCCACACCGUAAACGCUGUCUACUAGCUGUUUGUGAGUUUAACUCGUGAGUAGCGAAGCUAACGCGCUAAGUAGACCGCCUGGGGAGUACGGUCGCAAGAUUAAAACUCAAAUGAAUUGACGGGGGCCCGCACAAGCGGUGGAGCAUGUGGUUUAAUUCGAUGCAACGCGAAGAACCUUACCUACACUUGACAUUCAGAAAAGUUACCAGAGAUGGUUUCGUGCCUUCGGGAAUUCUGGGACAGGUGCUGCAUGGCUGUCGUCAGCUCGUGUCGUGAGAUGUUGGGUUAAGUCCCGCAACGAGCGCAACCCUUGUCCUUAUUUGCCAUCAUUAAGUUGGGCACUCUAAGGAGACUGCCGGUGACAAGCGGGAGGAAGGUGUGGAUGACGUCAAGUCCUCAUGGGCCCUUACGGGGUUGGGGCUACACACGUGCUACAAUGGGUAGUGACAGU